rnacentral:rRNA from 1 species
CCAUUUGGUGUAGGAGGGCGUGGUCCAUACUUGGAAGUCUCUGUGUGAACAGAGGCGGAGUGUGGACUAGUGUAGAUCUUGGUGGUAGUAGCAAGUAUUCCAAUGAGAACUUGGAAGACUGAAGAGGAGAAGGUUUUCAUGAGACUGCAGUAGGUCAUGAGUGACCCGACCCUAACUCCAGGGAAAGGGGAUGUGGUUAACAUUCCACAGGUAGGCGUUGCAGAGUGGCGACACUAGCAACUGCAAGACGGCGGGGACGUCCCGGGGAGAGUUCUCUUUUCUGCUUAACACCAUGACUGUCUGGAAGGCCUUUACGGCGAGAGAGACGCUAGUGGUGGAAGAGCAGCACACUCUUAGUGCUGUCCGGAGUGCUGUUCACGCCCCUUGAAAAUUGCAGUUGUGCUGCAGGCCUAGUCGUACCGAAUCCGCAACAGGUCUCCAAGGUUAGCAGCCUCUAGUGGUAGAGUAAUGUAGGUAAGGGAAGUCGGCAAACUGGAUCUGUAACUUCGGGAGAAAGAUUGGCUCUGAGGGCCAGGCACACC